UACGUAGGGUGCAAGCGUUAAUCGGAAUUACUGGGCGUAAAGCGUGCGUAGGCGGUUGCGCAAGACAGGUGUGAAAUCCCCGGGCUUAACCUGGGAAUUGCACUUGUGACUGUGCGGCUGGAGUGCGGCAGAGGGGGAUGGGAAUUCCGCGUGUAGCAGUGAAAUGCGUAGAUAUGCGGAGGAACACCGAUGGCGAAGGCAGUCCCCUGGGCCUGCACUGACGCUCAUGCACGAAAGCGUGGGGAGCAAACAG
rnacentral:rRNA from 1 species